AUCCAGAUGAUGAGUCCCGCAUAGGACGAAAUCCGAACAUCCUGGAU
rnacentral:hammerhead_ribozyme from 1 species